rnacentral:rRNA from 1 species
GACGAACGCUGGCGGCGUGCCUAAUACAUGCAAGUAGAACGCUGAAGAGAGGAGCUUGCUCUUCUUGGAUGAGUUGCGAACGGGUGAGUAACGCGUAGGUAACCUGCCUUGUAGCGGGGGAUAACUAUUGGAAACGAUAGCUAGUACCGCAUAACAAUGGAUGACACAUGUCAUUUAUUUGAAAGGGGCAAUUGCUCCACUACAAGAUGGACCUGCGUUGUAUUAGCUAGUAGGUGAGGUAAUGGCUCACCUAGGCGACGAUACAUAGCCGACCUGAGAGGGUGAUCGGCCACACUGGGACUGAGACACGGCCCAGACUCCUACGGGAGGCAGCAGUAGGGAAUCUUCGGCAAUGGGGGCAACCCUGACCGAGCAACGCCGCGUGAGUGAAGAAGGUUUUCGGAUCGUAAAGCUCUGUUGUAAGUCAAGAACGGGUGUGAGAGUGGAAAGUUCACACUGUGACGGUAGCUUACCAGAAAGGGACGGCUAACUACGUG